UGUGCCUACGGGAGGCAGCAGUGAGGAAUAUUGGUCAAUGGGCGGGAGCCUGAACCAGCCAAGCCGCGUGAGGGGAGAAGGUACAGCGUAUCGUAAACCUCUUUUGUCAGGGAACAAAGGCGGGGACUAGUCCCCGGAUGAGGGUACCUGAAGAAAAAGCAUCGGCUAACUCCGUGCCAGCAGCCGCGGUAAUACGGAGGAUGCGAGCGUUAUCCGGAUUUAUUGGGUUUAAAGGGUGCACAGGCGGCCUGUUAAGUCAGCGGAAAAAGCCCGGGGCUCAACCCCGGCGAGCCGGUGAAGCUGGG
rnacentral:rRNA from 1 species